GGGAAUUUUCCGCAAUGGGCGAAAGCCUGACGGAGCAAUGCCGCGUGGAGGAGGAAGGCCUGUGGGUCGUAAACUCCUUUUCUCAGAGAAGAAGUUCUGACGGUAUCUGAGGAAUAAGCAUCGGCUAACUCUGUGCCAGCAGCCGCGGUAAUACAGGGGAUGCAAGCGUUAUCCGGAAUUAUUGGGCGUAAAGCGUCCUGAGGUGGCUUACCCAGUCGACUGUGAAAGCUCAAGGCUUAACCUUGAAACGGCAGUCGAAACUUGUAAGCUUGAGUACGGUAGGGGCAGAGGGAAUUCCCGGAGGAGAGGUGAAAUUCGUAGAUAUCGGGAGGAAGGCCAAAGGCGAAAGCACUCUGCUGGGCCGAUUACUGACACUGACAGACGAAAGCUAGGGGAGCGAAAGGGAUUAGAUACCCCUGUAGUC
rnacentral:rRNA from 1 species